GGUUCCCGGGCCGGGCGGGGCGCCUGGGCCAGCCUCCAAGGGGGGGGGGCUUUGUCAUACCGCCAGGGGCAGUGCCAGGAAAGGCAGUCCUUCACGCCUUUGAUAUCUUGGACCCGGGUUUCGGAUCCACCCCAUUGCGCCCGCGUAGUUACAACUAGCCUCACCCAUGACGAAGCUACAAUAAAAGCUUGACGAUCUUCGAGCCUUCAUUAGAGCCGCAGGGGAGGGAGGUGCCCUGGGGAGGUGGUUCUCCUUACAUUUAGGCGCAGACCUCUGCAGUGUCUCCUUCGUUUCCUGAGUAGCGUGGAGUGUGAGACCAAAACCUAGGAGACCGUGCAGAUCCGCGGGAAGCUUAGGAGGGCCACUCACAGGCCUGGGUUCAUGUCAUUGCUUCAGAAUUCAUUUGGGGUUGGGUGAGCAUUUUCAUACCCAUUUUACAGAAGAGAAGAUAGAUGCUCAGGCCGGUGAAGAGUUUCUGAUAACCUACCAGCUGCAAGGAGCUUCCUGUUUCAGAAGCUUGUCCCUGUGACUGGCCAGCGGCCCCUGUUACAUACAUGUUCCAUAUGCAGAGCUGGAACAAUCCUCAAAGGCCACCCCAUCAGUCCUUGCUCUGACCUUUGGAGUUAUCCCAAAUGAUUUGGAUCUCUUCUCUGCAUACCAGUCCUUUGGCAUUGGAUACAGGAUCCCAUGUCUGCUCACGCUGUAGGAGUUUAAAAAGAGACCUGAGGAACAGAAAUUUAAAGAGAAACCAAAAUAAAUAAAUAAAUAAAAACCA